CCCCACUCGCCGCGGUUAUUCUUUGCCAGUCCGGCAGUCCCCAAGCUCCCCCACGCGCUCCUCUCCUCCAGCUCCUCAGAUCCGGCGACCUCCGGCUCCUCGCCGCCGCCACGGAAAUUCGGCGCCUCCGCGCCCUUUAUCGACCCAUGGAGACCGGGUUCAUUUCCUUCCUGCCCCUCCUUCGACGGCUGUCCCGAAUUUCAGGCGUCGCGCGUGGCCGGAGCUGAGGACGCGUUCCUCUCCGUCUCCCAUGUCCCGCUCGCGCGCGCGGCAUGCCUUUGUAAAGCCCGUCGUCGCCGUGUCCCUGGCAAGCCCGUUGUCCCCGUGCCCGCUCUUCACCAUCCUCGGCGCCAUAUCCGCAAAAGGUUAGUAUUCCUCACCUCUGGGAAAAAUACGCGGGUGGCGUACCAGGCCACGAGAUCCAGCUUGCUGUAUCCUCUCAUCAGCAGGAUGUGAGUUUCGGGUAGCUAGCACUACGUUUCCUUAGCUUGAACAACCUGCAAAACAAUCAUGCUCUGACUACUAUAUUUAUUUAGAAUAUUGCAAUAUCAUCAAUCGAUCCAUUGGACAGCAGUUUAGAUAAUUAGUAGUAACUUGUCUGUUUUUUCAGCGAGACCUGAAUGCUAUGGGAAUAUCAUCAGUUCUGUAAUUGCCCUGCAGGAUCAGCGGUUCUUUAAUUUAGACACCACAAUAUAAUCGAUUAUGUAGGAUUGUUUCAAGAUUGAUCUUUAGGUACAGAUAAUGUAAUUGCAGUUGCCUAUAUACAGUUUCUAGAGCCUUUGUUGUCCUUUUUGUUGGAUACUAGCAAUAAUUAAUUAUUAGCCGUGAAUUGUUCUUCCAGUGAAAAUAGAGUGAUAAUUUGCAAGUGGCAUGAUUAGGAGUAGAUUAUUUGUAUACAUACAUGCAUGCAUGGUCUCCACACCUUGAAACCAAUUUUAUUUUCCAAACAUGAAAGCCAGUCUGCCUUCAUGUCACCCGUUUUCCCCUCUAGGUUUCUAGUCGAGGGCGUCCUGCAGCGAGCAGUGCAGGAAAUUGACAUAUGGCGGCGAGCGGAUGCAUGUCCGUAAGCGAGUGGGUGAGCGGCGAGCGGGUGCAUGUCCGGCAACGAGCGGGCGAGCGGCGGUCGGAAUCGGAGGUCAGGCGUGUGGCGGGAGGGCUCUGCACCAACCGUGUCCUCGUCAACGUCGUGAUUGGCCGGCCGACGGUGCUUCCGGUGGUAUCGGCUUCCUUGUCGGGCAGCACACCAGGUGGUGACUGCAGGCGGCGCAGCGUCGUGGUCGGGCAGCGCAACAGAUUAUUUUUGCCGGCGGCGCUGCGGGUGGGCCAGCGACCUCAGCUCUUCUGUGGUUAGUUUCACGCCAGGGAGUGGUAAUCUCUGUUUCGCUGGAUAUCAGGAACAAAUAGAAAAGAUCUCUCUCCAGUUCAGACCUACAGCUGCACUGAGUCCUGCUAUCGAUCUUGUUUGGUCUUCCCCUACAGAUGUUCCUAUACUCCUCAGGUUUGGCACUUUAUUUUGGUCUAAAUGUUCAUUGUUAAGAAAAAUAGGAGAUUGCAUCAUUACCUUCUGCCUUUUUGGGGUUCAGGAAUACGCGCAUUGUUCAAGACAACUUGUAAGCAUUUGUAUAAUUUAUUGUUGAAGACAUAAUGCUCUUACUGCAACCAAACGCUGGCUCGUAGUGUGCCUUGGAUUUAUUCUUUUGUUGAUACCAAAUAACUUAUGACAAGCUAUGCAGUCUUUCGUGUAAAAGUUAAAGAACUGGUUGGCUCACUUUGUUUGCAUGUCACCAGUGUGUAAUUUCUGAUCCAUCAUGAAAUAGAUUGUUAUUUUCCUCUUAUUGUAGCGUGGACCUUAGCAUAUUCACUUGUUUGUUUAUCCAAAUCCAAGCUCUGUAAUCAUAUUUCAGCCGCCAAGCCAAGGAACAAUGUGUUUGGGAGAUACAAAUUUGUCAUGUCCACUCCAUUUAUAAGCAUUUGGCUAAUUUGUUGCAGGUUGAUAUUAUAACGAUAUCUUUGAUAGCAAUACUGUCGCGUAAUAAGCGUUGGCUUUGUCUCUUCAUACAUGCCAAAUAAGUAAUGACUAGCUAUUUGGCUUCACAUGGAAGUUUUAAAAUGUUAUGAAAAAGUUACUCACAUACAGCAAAAGAAAAUGAUAUGCUUACAAAGCACAUCAAUGCCCCUAAUGUUAUUUCAGCUGUAUCUGGUCUUUGGAAAUGGGUAUAUGUACAAAUAAGAAGUAUGCGUUUGGGUAAAUCCUUCUGUUAGUAAAUCUUUUACCUCUUUCUGUUUGGCAUGCAUCUCAGUUUUUAUGAUUUUCCUGUCAUUAUACAUGACUUUUGUUAUGCAUAAAUACCUCUCAACUUUUCAGAUGCCUAGUUAUGGUAUUGUCAUUUGCAUGAAAAUUGAUGAUAGUGUGAAUGGAAAAUUCAUGGAAGUUUGUGUGAUAUGUUAGUUGCUUGCUUCGAGCUUUGACCAUGUUCCUAGCCUAGUAGAUUUUGCCUUGUAGACAUAUAUAGACCAAGUAUGCCAAAUGUAUUUUAAAUAUGGCAAAAUCGUGUGGAGCUUAUUUCAGUUUCCUGGCCUAGAAUAGGUGACAUUCUAGGAUUUUUAAGGGGUAAUUUCUUUGACUCCAAUCUGAAACAUGACAGAACCCUAAAUGGCCGCAUAAUACAUUCUUCUUGCACCUGAUGCUACAUGGGUCAUAUAUUUCUUCUAUGUUAGCCCCUAGUCAAUUUCUAGUCCAAUUCAUGAGUGCCAGCUUGGUGAUGAUACCUUUUGUUAUUCAGAAAUAUACGUUUAUCAGUUGCUUCUCGUGUGACAUAACUUUGUUAUUUGGAAGUGAUUAUCACCUUUUCAGCUUUAGUUGUAAUAUUUUCGUAUGCUUGAAAAUAGAUUAGUGUGAUCUGUUAGUUUCUUUUGCGUCCACCUUUGAUCGUAUUAUUACUUAUUAGUCUAUCAGAUUUUGCAUUUACGGACCGGGACAGCUUCAGUAUCACAAAUGUAUUUUUGAUCUGGCAAAAUUACCGUGAGGAUAUUCCAGUAGCUGGCCUUUGAACAUAGAUGACAUUGUUGAUUUAUUAAUCUAUUAUUUUCCAUCCUCCAUUCUCAAAUAUGACAGAAUUCUAAAUGGUUGCAGGAUAUUGGCACAGCUUAUUCUUUUGCUCAUUUUUGUUCGUGUAGAGAUCCAGGAGAGACGGCAAUGUUCAAAAAAUUAAGUUGAACUGGGGAUGUGUCUUACUCCUAGGUACACAAUGAAAUGUAGAGCUACACCGCAUGUUGUGGUCUUCAGGGUCGGGCUGACUAGUACGAUGACAUCAACCAGUGGCGGAGCCAGGAUUCAAA